CUGAAUGGGGCAACUAGUUGUAUAUUGUAGACCCGAAACCGGGUGACCUAUCCAUGGCCAGGAUGAAGCGGAAGUAAAAUUCCGUGGAGGUCCGAACCACGUUGGUGUUGAAAAACCAUGGGAUGAGCUGUGGAUAGCGGAGAAAUUCCAAUCGAACUCGGAGAUAGCUGGUUCUCCUCGAAAUAGCUUUAGGGCUAGCGUCGGGUAAUUGAGUAGUGGAGGUAGAGCACUGAAUGGGCUAGGGGCUGACAACAGUUACUGAACCCUAUCAAACUCCGAAUGCCAUAUACUUGUACCCCGGCAGUCAGACUACGAAUGAUAAGAUCCGUGGUCAAAAGGGAAACAGCCCAGACCAUCAGCUAAGGUCCCAAAGUGUAAGUUAAGUGGGAAAGGAUGUGGGAUUUCUAAGACAACUAGGAUGUUGGCUUAGAAGCAGCCACUCAUUUAAAGAGUGCGUAAUAGCUCACUAGUCGAGAGAUCCUGCGCCGAAGAUGUAACGGGGCUCAAACUUACCACCGAAGCUAUGGAUGUGUACUUUGUACACGUGGUAGAGGAGCUUUCUGUACAGGUUGAAGUCAUACCGUAAGGAGUGGUGGACAGUACAGAAGUGAGAAUGCUGGCAUAAGUAGCGAAAAACAAGUGAGAAUCUUGUUGACCGAAUAUCUAAGGUUUCCUGGGGAAGGCUCGUCCUCCCAGGGUUAGUCGGGACCUAAGCCGAGGCCGAAAGGCGUAGGUGAUGGACAACUGGUUGAUAUUCCAGUACCACCAUAAUGCGUUUGACAAAUGGGAUGACGCAGGAGGAUAGGAUGUGCGCACUAUUGGAUGUGCGUCUAAGCACUUAGGGUGUUAAGUAGGCAAAUCCGCUUAACAUUAAGCCUGAGGUGUGAUGGGGAGCCUAUUUUGGCGAAGUAUCUGAUUCCACGCUGCCAAGAAAAGUCUCUAUGGAGCAAAGUGGUGCCCGUACCGCAAACCGACACAGGUAGAUGAGGAGAGAAUCCUAAGGUCGUCGGAAGAAUUAUUGCUAAGGAACUCGGCAAAUUGACCCCGUAACUUAGGGAGAAGGGGUGCCUACGAGAGUAGGCCGCAGUGAAUAGGCUCAAGCAACUGUUUAUCAAAAACACAGGUCUCUGCUAAAGCGUAAGCUGAUGUAUAGGGGCUGACGCCUGCCCGGUGCUGGAAGGUUAAGGGGAAUAGUUAGCGCAAGCGAAGCUAUGAACUUAAGCCCCAGUAAACGGCGGCCGUAACUAUAACGGUCCUAAGGUAGCGAAAUUCCUUGUCGGGUAAGUUCCGACCCGCACGAAUGGCGUAAUGAUUUGAGCACUGUCUCGGCAAUAAAUCCGGUGAAAUUGUAGUGCAAGUGAAGAUGCUUGCUACCCGCGGUUGGACGGAAAGACCCCGUAGAGCUUUACUGUAGCUUAGCAUUGAAUUUCGGUAUUGUCUGUACAGGAUAGGUGGGAGACUUAGAAGCGAGGGCGUCAGCUUUCGUGGAGUCGUCCUUGGGAUACCACCCUGACAGUACUGGAAUUCUAACUGGAGGCCAUGAAUCUGGUCACAGGACAUUGCUAGGUGGGCAGUUUGACUGGGGCGGUCGCCUCCUAAAAGGUAACGGAGGCGCCCAAAGGUUCCCUCAGCGCGGUCGGAAAUCGCGCGUAGAGUGCAAAGGCAGAAGGGAGCCUGACUGCGACACAUACAGGUGGAGCAGGGACGAAAGUCGGGCUUAGUGAUCCGGUGGUUCUGUAUGGAAGGGCCAUCGCUCAACGGAUAAAAGCUACCUCGGGGAUAACAGGCUGAUCUCCCCCAAGAGUCCACAUCGACGGGGAGGUUUGGCACCUCGAUGUCGGCUCGUCGCAUCCUGGGGCUGUAGUCGGUCCCAAGGGUUGGGCUGUUCGCCCAUUAAAGCGGCACGCGAGCUGGGUUCAGAACGUCGUGAGACAGUUCGGUCCCUAUCCGCCGUGGGCGUAGGAAAUUUGAGAGGAGCUGUCCUUAGUAC
rnacentral:rRNA from 1 species